rnacentral:rRNA from 1 species
AGUGAACGCUGGCGGUAGGCCUAACACAUGCAAGUCGAACGGCAGCACAGGAGGGCUUGCUCUCUGGGUGGCGAGUGGCGGACGGGUGAGGAAUACAUCGGAAUCUACUCUGUCGUGGGGGAUAACGUAGGGAAACUUACGCUAAUACCGCAUACGACCUACGGGUGAAAGCAGGGGAUCUUCGGACCUUGCGCGAUUGAGUGAGCCGAUGUCGGAUUAGCUAGUUGGCGGGGUAAAGGCCCACCAAGGCGACGAUCCGUAGCUGGUCUGAGAGGAUGAUCAGCCACACUGGAACUGAGACACGGUCCAGACUCCUACGGGAGGCAGCAGUGGGGAAUAUUGGACAAUGGGCGCAAGCCUGAUCCAGCCAUACCGCGUGGGUGAAGAAGGCCUUCGGGUUGUAAAGCCCUUUUGUUGGGAAAGAAAUCCAGCUGGCUAAUACCCGGUUGGGAUGACGGUACCCAAAGAAUAAGCACCGGCUAACUUCGUGCCAGCCGCCGCCGUAA